CAGUAGCCUCGGUAAUACGAAGGGGGCUAGCGUUGCUCGGAAUGACUGGGCGUAAAGGGCGCGUAGGCGGCGAUCGAAGUCAGGCGUGAAAUUCCUGGGCUCAACCUGGGGGCUGCGUUUGAUACUUGAUUGCUAGAGUGGGGAAGAGGGUCGUGGAAUUCCCAGUGUAGAGGUGAAAUUCGUAGAUAUUGGGAAGAACACCGGUGGCGAAGGCGGCGACCUGGUCCUUGACUGACGCUGAGGCGCGAAAGCGUGGGGAGCAAACAGGAUUAGAUACCCCUGUAGUCCCUGUCUCUUAUAC
rnacentral:rRNA from 1 species